CGGCAGAGUAUAAGCGGUUAGCGCGCUGGCUUCGGCCUCGCGUGGGACAUUGCUCUACAG
rnacentral:ncRNA from 1 species